rnacentral:rRNA from 1 species
AUAGGAGGUCUGACCUGCCCAGUGAUAAUUAUUUUAACGGCCGCGGUAUACUGACCGUGCAAAGGUAGCAUAAUCAUUAGUCUUUUAAAAGAGGGCUGGAAUGAAGGGUUUAACGAGGUGUUAACUGUCUCAUUUUAUUUGAAUUUAUAAUUUACCUUUUUAGUUAAAAGGCUAAAAUUUAAUUGGAAGACGAGAAGACCCUAUAGAGCUUUAUAUUUCUUUGAAUAAUAUUAUUUAUAUUAUUUGUAAUUAUUUAAUGAAAUAUUUUGUUGGGGUGACAAAAAUAUAUGAUAAACUUUUUUAUUUUUUUACCAUUGAUAUAUGAAUAUUAGAUCCUUUUUUAUUGAUUGUUAGAUUAAGUUACCUUAGGGAUAACAGCGUAAUCCUUCUCCAGAGUUCAUAUUUACAGGAGGGCUUGCGACCUCGAUGUUGGAUUAAGAUAAUAUUUAGGUGUAGCCGCUUAAGUUAUAGGUCUGUUCGACCUUUAAAUUCUUACAUGAUCUGAG